CUAAUUGUUUUUAAUUUUUUUAUAAAUUUUUUAAAUAAGACGUACGGUUAAACGUUAGACACGGAUAUCCACGGUUGUACUUAUUUUGGGACGGACGUAGUAUUUCUCUUUCCUGGCGCCUGGCACGCACGGCCCAUAGGCCCCACACGCGAGUUGCGCGUGUAUCGAAUUGAUCGACGCGACUCUCUCCUCCCCCUAGCCCGUAGCCCUAGCGACGACGCGAUCGGGAUCGGCGAUCUCUGAGACUCUGAUCUCAUCUGAUUUUCUCACGCCACGGCCACGCCACGCGAUUACAGUUCACACUUCACAGAGCCACGCCGCCGCCGGCGCUCGCGCGAGCGGGCGCCCCCACGCCCACGCCGCCGCGCGCGAGUCCGCAUUCCGCCGCUGGAUCAAAUCAAGCAUCUCCUGCGUACAGUAGCUGCCAGCCAUGAUCACUUGUGGCAGCAAUACUUUGAGGGCAUCUCGAUCGUUUUCAGGACGUCUCUGGCUUGACAGCUGAGUUGAGAUUAUUCAGGUUCUGAAUUUGCCAAAUGCCGACCAAACGAACUCAACAUGACGUGAUUUUGUUGGAUGAAGAGAACAUAAUGAAGACUUUCAUGGUCAUUAGAAGACAUAGACCCGAUAAGAAAAAAAAAAUAAUAUGGUAAUUUUCUUUAGACUUUCAUAGCCAUACAAGCUUCUGUAAAUCAAAAUUUUACUUAAUUACUAGUUUUAUCUAUGCUUGCAUUGUACAUAUGUGUUUAGGAAAAAAAAUUUAGGUCAGACCACCCAUAUCCUAAAUCCGCCACUGGUAUAACAACCCAUUUGCCCAAUGCUUUAAUGACACGUGGCAUAAAGUUAAAUGGUAAAAAUGGACCAAUCAGAGAUAAUUAGAUUUGCGAGAAAUUGGUGCUGUUCCAUAGCACUCGCGAGAGAUGUGGGGUUGGGUGCAUGUGCCUGCAUUCGUUACUGUUGCCGCUGGUGAAGUUGGUGAUGGCAAGGCUCUUCUGUCACGUGCCACUCAGGUAUCUACAUGGCUUUAGAAGAUUGGACUGCACUGAGACCUAGAACCUUCCGCAGGGUAUUUCAUGAAGUAUCAGAUACAAAUCACACCUAAAACGGAUUAGUGAUAUGCCCGUGCUAAACACUACGGUGUAAUUUUAAUUUUCUUUAAAGAAUUUUAAAAUAGCAUGUUACCAAAAACAAUUUCUUGUAUGAUCUAUGCAGUUGAGUCUUAAUCUAAUUUAUGUCGUCUGUCAAAUAUAUUCAUGGCAAGAAUAAUAUACUGUGUGGGUUUAAUAGAACGGAUUUUCGCCAAUAUCUAUUUAAAAGAUGCAUUUUCAACCCUCUAAUUUAAAUAUUUACCAAACAAAAAUCAAAAGGUUGAAAGUUUUAAAAAUUGAAAUGAAAAUUUAAAAUUUUCAAGUACAAUUUUUCAUAAUUGGAGUAAACAAUUUAAACUUAAAAAGUGGAUUAAAAAUUUUUAUGUGCAUGAAGAUGAGCGGCGAGUGGUGACGAGAUAGAUAAGGCACACGUUGGCCGCUAUCCUUUGAGCACAUAGCACAAGGGCAUGAAUGUAAACCCAAAUAACAGUUUGGUAUGAAACAUAUGUCAACGUAAUAAUAGCAUGUUCGUGCUAAUGCUACUGCGGCAUUUGGAGCAACGACUACUAUAACCACAAAUUCACAAAUAAACAACCAUUUAUAACACAAGAAGUUCAUUUAAAAAAUCAUAUCGAUGGUGUUCAAAUCCAUACAAAGAUUAUUACAAUUUUGGUCAUUUACUCAUUGCUACAUUUCAUCAAAGCUACUUGGAAAAAAAUAUCAUCUUCCAGGAAUCAAGACAGGGAUGAACGAUUUCAUAUCACUGGAACUUUAACCCAUGUCUCACCCUUUUGCUAAUACUUCAUUUCACUCUUCACAACAUAGCACAACUACUGCACUUUAGCUAAAAAGAACUUCUCAGCCAUUUCACAAGUUCACAUGAACAGAACACCAUGUUAUAACGAAGCAGCCAUUUAA